UUCUCAGUACAGACUGUAUUAAAGUGAAACCGCAAAAGGCUCAGUAAACCAGUUUUGAUUCACUUGAGUAAACUUGACUGUCUUUGGAUAACUGUGGUAAUUCUAGAGCUAAUACAUGCAACAAAGCCCUGACCUCCCAUGGAAAGGGCGCUUUUAUUAGAUCAAAACCAUUCGCCCGGCUCGCCCGGGCGUUGGCUUGAUGAACCUAGAUAACAAAUCAGAUCGUAUGGUCACCGAACCGACGACUUAUCUUUCAAAUGCCUGACUUAUCAACUGUCGAUGGUAGACUCUGUGUCUACCAUGGCUCCUACGGGUAACGGGGAAUCAGGGUUCGAUUCCGGAGAGGGAGCCUGAGAAACGGCUACCACAUCCAAGGAAGGCAGCAGGCACGCAAAUUACCCACUCCCGGCACGGGGAGGUAGUGACAAAAAAUAACGAUACGGGACUCUUAUGAGGCCUCGUAAUCGGAAUGAGUACACUUUAAAUCCUUUAACAAGGAUCCAUUGGAGGGCAAGUCUGGUGCCAGCAGCCGCGGUAAUUCCAGCUCCAAUAGCGUAUAUUAAAGUUGUUGCGGUUAAAAAGCUCGUAGUUGGUUCUGCGUGCCACGCUGUCGGUACACCGUUUGUCGGUGCAACUGGCAUGCCGUGGCAUGUCCUGUCGGUGGUGACCAGGUUCCCGGUGUGCCGAAGUUUUCUGAAGUCCCCGCGGACUCCCGGUUGCCGACUAUAUCCUACCGCGGUGCUCUUAAUUGAGUGUCGAGGUAGGCCGACACGUUUACUUUGAACAAAUUAGAGUGCUUAAAGCAGGCCAAAAUCUCUGCCUGAAUAGUGGUGCAUGGAAUGAUAGAACAGGACCUUGGUUCUAUUUUAUUGGUUUUCGGAACACGAGGUAAUGAUCAAUGUGGACAGGCGGGGGCAUUCGUAUUGCGACGUUAGAGGUGAAA
rnacentral:rRNA from 1 species